AGUGAACGCUGGCGGUAGGCCUAACACAUGCAAGUCGAACGGCAGCACAGUAAGAGCUUGCUCUUACGGGUGGCGAGUGGCGGACGGGUGAGGAAUACAUCGGAAUCUACUUUUUCGUGGGGGAUAACGUAGGGAAACUUACGCUAAUACCGCAUACGACCUACGGGUGAAAGCAGGGGAUCUUCUGACCUUGCGCGAUUGAAUGAGCCGAUGUCGGAUUAGCUAGUUGGGGGGGUAAGGGCCCACCAAGGCGACGAUCCGUAGCUGGUCUGAGAGGAUGAUCAGCGACACUGGAACUGAGACACGGUCCAGACUCCUACGGUAGGCAGCAGUGGGGAAUAUUGGACAAUGGGCGCAAGCCUGAUCCAGCCAUACCGCGUGGGUGAAGAAGGCCUUCGGGUUGUAAAGCCCUUUUGUUGGGAAAGAAAAGCAGCAGGUUAAUACCCCGCUGUUCUGACGGUACCCAAAGAAUAAGCACCGGCUAACUUCGUG
rnacentral:rRNA from 1 species